UUGCUUCGGCAGUAUAUAUACUAAAAUUGGAACGAUACAGAGAAGAUUUGCAUGGCACUAGCAAAAAUGACAGGGCGAUAAUAUUUGGUGGCAACAAUUUGA
rnacentral:snRNA from 1 species